UACGUAGGGUGCGAGCGUUGUCCGGAAUUAUUGGGCGUAAAGAGCUCGUAGGCGGUCUGUUGCGUCCGCUGUGAAAACUCGGGGCUUAACCCCGAGCCUGCAGUGGAUACGGGCAGACUAGAGGUAGGUAGGGGAGAAUGGAAUUCCCGGUGUAGCGGUGAAAUGCGCAGAUAUCGGGAGGAACACCGGUGGCGAAGGCGGGUCUCUGGGCCAAAACUGACGCUGAGGAGCGAAAGCGUGGGGAGCGAACAGG
rnacentral:rRNA from 1 species